rnacentral:rRNA from 1 species
GGGUUGUGAGGUUAAGCGACUAAGCGUACACGGUGGAUGCCCUGGCAGUCAGAGGCGAUGAAGGACGUGCUAAUCUGCGAAAAGCGCCGGCGAGGUGAUAUGAACCCUUGACCCGGCGAUGUCCGAAUGGGGAAACCCAGUGCAAUCCGUUGCACUAUCGUUAACUGAAUACAUAGGUUAACGAGGCGAACCGGGGGAACUGAAACAUCUAAGUACCCCGAGGAAAAGAAAUCAACCGAGAUUCCCCCAGUAGCGGCGAGCGAACGGGGAGCAGCCCAGAGUCUGAAUCAGCUUGUGUGUUAGUGGAAGCGUCUGGAAAGUCGCACGGUACAGGGUGAAAGUCCCGUACACGAAAAUGCACAGGCUGUGAACUCGAAGAGUAGGGCGGGACACGUGGUAUCCUGUCUGAAUAUGGGGGGACCAUCCUCCAAGGCUAAAUACUCCUGACUGACCGAUAGUGAACCAGUACCGUGAGGGAAAGGCGAAAAGAACCCCGGCGAGGGGAGUGAAAAAGAACCUGAAACCGUGUACGUACAAGCAGUGGGAGCACCUUCGGGUGUGACUGCGUACCUUUUGUAUAAUGGGUCAGCGACUUAUAUUCUGUAGCAAGGUUAACCGUAUAGGGGAGCCGAAGGGAAACCGAGUCUUAACUGGGCGUUAAGUUGCAGGGUAUAGACCCGAAACCCGGUGAUCUAGCCAUGGGCAGGUUGAAGGUUGGGUAACACUAACUGGAGGACCGAACCGACUAAUGUUGAAAAAUUAGCGGAUGACCUGUGGCUGGGGGUGAAAGGCCAAUCAAACCGGGAGAUAGCUGGUUCUCCCCGAAAGCUAUUUAGGUAGCGCCUCGUGAACUCAUCUUCGGGGGUAGAGCACUGUUUCGGCUAGGGGGCCAUCCCGGCUUACCAACCCGAUGCAAACUACGAAUACCGAAGAAUGUUAUCACGGGAGACACACGGCGGGUGCUAACGUCCGUCGUGAAGAGGGAAACAACCCAGACCGCCAGCUAAGGUCCCAAAGUCAUGGUUAAGUGGGAAACGAUGUGGGAAGGCCCAGACAGCCAGGAUGUUGGCUUAGAAGCAGCCAUCAUUUAAAGAAAGCGUAAUAGCUCACUGGUCGAGUCGGCCUGCGCGGAAGAUGUAACGGGGCUAAACCAUGCACCGAAGCUGCGGCAGCGACACUAUGUGUUGUUGGGUAGGGGAGCGUUCUGUAAGCCGUUGAAGGUGGCCUGUGAGGGUUGCUGGAGGUAUCAGAAGUGCGAAUGCUGACAUAAGUAACGAUAAAGCGGGUGAAAAGCCCGCUCGCCGGAAGACCAAGGGUUCCUGUCCAACGUUAAUCGGGGCAGGGUGAGUCGACCCCUAAGGCGAGGCCGAAAGGCGUAGUCGAUGGGAAACAGGUUAAUAUUCCUGUACUUGGUGUUACUGCGAAGGGGGGACGGAGAAGGCUAUGUUAGCCGGGCGACGGUUGUCCCGGUUUAAGCAUGUAGGCGGAGGUUCCAGGUAAAUCCGGUACCUUUUAACGCUGAGGUGUGAUGACGAGGCACUACGGUGCUGAAGUAACAAAUGCCCUGCUUCCAGGAAAAGCCUCUAAGCAUCAGGUAACACGAAAUCGUACCCCAAACCGACACAGGUGGUCAGGUAGAGAAUACCAAGGCGCUUGAGAGAACUCGGGUGAAGGAACUAGGCAAAAUGGUGCCGUAACUUCGGGAGAAGGCACGCUGAUAUGUAGGUGAAGCCCCUGCGGGUGGAGCUGAAAUCAGUCGAAGAUACCAGCUGGCUGCAACUGUUUAUUAAAAACACAGCACUGUGCAAACACGAAAGUGGACGUAUACGGUGUGACGCCUGCCCGGUGCCGGAAGGUUAAUUGAUGGGGUUAGCGGUAACGCGAAGCUCUUGAUCGAAGCCCCGGUAAACGGCGGCCGUAACUAUAACGGUCCUAAGGUAGCGAAAUUCCUUGUCGGGUAAGUUCCGACCUGCACGAAUGGCGUAAUGAUGGCCAGGCUGUCUCCACCCGAGACUCAGUGAAAUUGAACUCGCUGUGAAGAUGCAGUGUACCCGCGGCAAGACGGAAAGACCCCGUGAACCUUUACUAUAGCUUGACACUGAACACUGGUCCUUGAUGUGUAGGAUAGGUGGGAGGCUUUGAAGCGUGGACGCCAGUCUGCGUGGAGCCGUCCUUGAAAUACCACCCUUUAAUGGCUGGUGUUCUAACGUAGACCCGUAAUCCGGGUUGCGGACAGUGUCUGGUGGGUAGUUUGACUGGGGCGGUCUCCUCCCAAAGAGUAACGGAGGAGCACGAAGGUUAGCUAAUCCUGGUCGGACAUCAGGAGGUUAGUGCAAUGGCAUAAGCUAGCUUGACUGCGAGAGUGACGGCUCGAGCAGGUGCGAAAGCAGGUCAUAGUGAUCCGGUGGUUCUGAAUGGAAGGGCCAUCGCUCAACGGAUAAAAGGUACUCCGGGGAUAACAGGCUGAUACCGCCCAAGAGUUCAUAUCGACGGCGGUGUUUGGCACCUCGAUGUCGGCUCAUCACAUCCUGGGGCUGAAGUAGGUCCCAAGGGUAUGGCUGUUCGCCAUUUAAAGUGGUACGCGAGCUGGGUUUAGAACGUCGUGAGACAGUUCGGUCCCUAUCUGCCGUGGGCGCUGGAGAAUUGAGGGGGGCUGCUCCUAGUACGAGAGGACCGGAGUGGACGCAUCACUGGUGUUCGGGUUGUCAUGCCAAUGGCACUGCCCGGUAGCUAAAUGCGGAAGAGAUAAGUGCUGAAAGCAUCUAAGCACGAAACUUGCCCCGAGAUGAGUUCUCCCUGAGACUUAAAGUCUCCUGAAGGAACGUUAAAGACGAUGACGUUGAUAGGUCGGGUGUGUAAGCGCAGCGAUGCGUUGAGCUAACCGAUACUAAUGAACCGUGAGGCUUAACCUUACAACGCCGAAGGUGUUU